AGACCCGAAACCCGGUGAUCUAGCCAUGGGCAGGUUGAAGGUUGGGUAACACUAACUGGAGGACCGAACCGACUAAUGUUGAAAAAUUAGCGGAUGACCUGUGGCUGGGGGUGAAAGGCCAAUCAAACCGGGAGAUAGCUGGUUCUCCCCGAAAGCUAUUUAGGUAGCGCCUCGUGAAUUCAUCUCCGGGGGUAGAGCACUGUUUCGGCUAGGGGGCCAUCCCGGCUUACCAACCCGAUGCAAACUGCGAAUACCGGAGAAUGUUAUCACGGGAGACACACGGCGGGUGCUAACGUCCGUCGUGAAGAGGGAAACAACCCAGACCGCCAGCUAAGGUCCCAAAGUCAUGGUUAAGUGGGAAACGAUGUGGGAAGGCCCAGACAGCCAGGAUGUUGGCUUAGAAGCAGCCAUCAUUUAAAGAAAGCGUAAUAGCUCACUGGUCGAGUCGGCCUGCGCGGAAGAUGUAACGGGGCUAAACCAUGCACCGAAGCUGCGGCAGCGACGCUUAUGCGUUGUUGGGUAGGGGAGCGUUCUGUAAGCCUGUGAAGGUGUGUCGUGAGGCAUGCUGGAGGUAUCAGAAGUGCGAAUGCUGACAUAAGUAACGAUAAAGCGGGUGAAAAGCCCGCUCGCCGGAAGACCAAGGGUUCCUGUCCAACGUUAAUCGGGGCAGGGUGAGUCGACCCCUA
rnacentral:rRNA from 1 species